GACGAACGCUAGCGGCAGGCCUAACACAUGCAAGUCGAGGGGUAGAGGCUUUCGAGCCUUGAGACCGGCGCACGGGUGCGUAACGCGUAUGCAAUCUACCUUGUACUGAGGGAUAGCCCAGAGAAAUUUGGAUUAACACCUCAUAGUAUUUUAGUGUGGCAUCACAUUAUUAUUAAAGUUCCAACGGUACAAGAUGAGCAUGCGUCCCAUUAGUUAGUUGGUAAGGUAACGGCUUACCAAGACGAUGAUGGGUAGGGGUCCUGAGAGGGAGAUCCCCCACACUGGUACUGAGACACGGACCAGACUCCUACGGGAGGCAGCAGUGAGGAAUAUUGGCCAAUGGGCGCAAGCCUGAACCAGCCAUGCCGCGUGCAGGAAGACGGUCCUUUGGAUUGUAAACUGCUUUUAUACAGGAAGAAACCCUCCCACGUGUGGGAGAUUGACGGUACUGUAGGAAUAAGGAUCGGCUAACUCCGUGCCAGCCGCCGCUGUAACAC
rnacentral:rRNA from 1 species